GAAGAGAGGGGAGAAAGAGCACAGGCUGGGCAGUCCAGUACCAGACAGGAGGAGGAGAGAGACAGGCAAGAAAUGGAUGAGGACAUGAUGUGGGCUAGACGUCAAAGCCAUUUAUUUCAUAUUGCGCGCACAUUUAAAUGUUUUUUUUUUUAUGUAUUGGGUGUUGGGUGCCUGUGCCCCAGCAAAGCUCUAGGUCUAGAAUCGCCCCUGAAUCUGAUCCCUUAUCAUACCAAUGAAGAAUAGAGCUACUUUGGGCCCCUUUGUUUCUCGCUUUAUCAGACGCAAACUUCUCAAGAAACUUUUGGACGCUCAUGAGGAGCAGAACAGUGAAGCCUUCACAGAAGCCAUCCCAGUCAGUGUGUAUUUCAAUAUGGAAUUGGUCCAGAUCUGAUUCGGGGUCGGGUCAUGACUGGAGUGGGCUCUGUGGCUCCUUACCGGCCACUGAUGGAUACUCGUUCAGGGAUGAUGAGCGCUGUAUGACUUUACUUUUCUGUACAGUGUUUCUCUCCAGAGCAUGACGACAGGGUUUAUACACUUCACGCUCAUCUCAUUUACCCCGUAGUUUGUUUUUUAUUUAUUUUGUUUUGUUUAAAGGUGUAAUGUGCAUUUUUUUAGUUGUUAAAAUAAAAAAUCUGGCUCUGUAUAUAGUUUUAAGCAAACACUAAAAAUGAGUUGCAAUAUCGUCAUGCUUUCUCAUUUGGCUUGAUGCUUGCGUGGUUUAGUGGCCAAUUUCGGUGAACUAGCUCAGAUUAAGUCACUUACCGACCAUGGUUUUUAUUUGGAUAUUCUAUUUUAGGUCUAGAAUCGUUUUUUGAAAUUGACAGAAAAAACUACAUAUUGCACCUUAGCCAUGUCAUCUCAUCUAAAGUGUGUUUUCCAUAGUCUGUGAAAAAGAAAAUCUGAAAUAAUUUAAUAAGAAAGGAAUGAAAAAGGGACAAACAAUGACAAACCUGUAAUUUCUUAUUUCGGAAGCCAAGCGAGAUUUCUGCACACACGUCUACACAUCACACUCAGCAACCAACAUGGUCGUUCAUACCACUCACUAAAGCCCACCAAAGAAAGAGUGAAUCCCUCAGACUUGGUUUAGUGGUCAUAAAACAGAGCAAAAAAAGACGUCAUUUUAAAAUAUUUUGGUUAUUGAUGCUAAUUAUCUUUUGUACGGAUCUCAGUAUUACAUUACAUGACAUGAUUUGUUUCACCUUCUAAAAAUGUUUCUAUAUCUAUAAGGGUUAUAUAAAAAUAAAAAAACAAAAUACUUUUUCUUGAAUCUGACAGAAGUCCCCAUGGUUAAAGACUGAGAUGUUUAUGUGUAUGUGCUUCCUGUGUCAGUGUGCUCUUGUGUAUUAGUGUAUUGUUGUUAUAUAUGCACACUUCAGGGGGGUAUUCCAAGUACGUGGUUUGGAGGCAAACCUGGGUAAGUUAACUCAGAGUAAGGGGUAAACCUCCUUAUAGAUAUGCUGUAUGGUUUCAUUGUCCUUACAAAACAAUGCCAUAGGGCUCUUGUUGUAGGUGGUUUACCACUUACUCUGAGUUAACUUACCCAGGUUUGCCUUUAAACCACGUACUUGGAAUACCCCCCAGGUCUCUGAUAGCGUAGUCCUCUCUUCCUCUGCUCAUUACCAGUCAGAGCAUGUUGUUUUGUGUCCAGUCUUGUGUGGUUUACAUAUCGUGAGACAUACCAGAGGUUUUUAUUUUUCAGUUCAUUGUGUCCUCAUCACUGGAGACCAUGGGCCUGUACUACGAAGGGAGCUUAACCUACCCAGAUGUAACCCAGGGUUACUUUGUUAAACCGGGGUU